UCCCUGGUGGUCUAGUGGUUAGGGCUCGGUACUGUUACUGCCAGGGCCCGGGUUCAAUCCCCGGGCAGGGAA